rnacentral:rRNA from 1 species
GUAACAAGGUCUCCGUAGGUGAACCUGCGGAGGGAUCAUUACACAAAUAUGAAGGCGGGCUGGAACCUCUCGGGGUUACAGCCUUGCUGAAUUAUUCACCCUUGUCUUUUGCGUACUUCUUGUUUCCUUGGUGGGUUCGCCCACCACUAGGACAAACAUAAACCUUUUGUAAUUGCAAUCAGCGUCAGUAACAAAUUAAUAAUUACAACUUUCAACAACGGAUCUCUUGGUUCUGGCAUCGAUGAAGAACGCAGCGAAAUGCGAUAAGUAGUGUGAAUUGCAGAAUUCAGUGAAUCAUCGAAUCUUUGAACGCACAUUGCGCCCUUUGGUAUUCCAAAGGGCAUGCCUGUUCGAGCGUCAUUUGUACCCUCAAGCUUUGCUUGGUGUUGGGCGUCUUGUCUCUAGCUUUGCUGGAGACUCGCCUUAAAGUAAUUGGCAGCCGGCCUACUGGUUUCGGAGCGCAGCACAAGUCGCACUCUCUAUCAGCAAAGGUCUAGCAUCCAUUAAGCCUUUU